AAAAAAUUGAGAGGUUACCUCUGUUUCUCUCUUUAUACUUUAAAACAAAGUCACUGCUACUUAUCAAACACAGAUCUGAUUGGUUACCCUACACAGCAAGCCAAGACAGAUCUCAGAUAAUGGACUAACAUGUAUGAGACAUAUAUAUCUAAUUUAUUGAAAUUGAACUGAUAUUGCUAAUUUAUAUUUUAAUUAAUGUCACUUAAUUUAAUUUAUUAUUUAAUUAUGUGCUUAAUACAUUUUGGCACCCGAGACCCUGGGCUUUUUAAAAAUUAAUUCAUAGUUUUAUGUUCAAUAUACUUAAAAUUGUUAAUCUUAUGUGUGUAAUUAAUAUUUUUAAAUGUGAUUUAAUUAAUUCUAAACCGUUUUAAUGUUAAAUAAUAGUGAUAUUUUCAAUUUAUUGAACACAUUUAAUUAAAUCCAAAGAGCCCUUUCCACAUCCUUUCUGAGCAUGCGCAGAGAAUGAAAAAAAUCUUUGCGCAUACGCAUUCACCUUCUUCAUCUACGCCACAGUGUGCUUUGGCCACGUGUCUGGAAAGAGCGAUUCAUCGUGAUUCAUCCGUUGGAGUUAAGGUUGCUGGUUGUGGAAUUUGGAGCUGUGGAGAUUUGAGCUGUGCUCCAAAAGUGCAUGUAAAGAGUUCCCGAAUCGAAGUGAAGUGUGAAUGCAUCCUUCAAGCUGUGAUUAUAUACCUGAAUGAGAACCCUCAAAAUAUCA